AAUGAACGCUGGCGGCAGGCCUAACACAUGCAAGUCGAACGAGGCAGCAAUGCCUAGUGGCGGACGGGUGAGUAACGCGUGGGAACGUGCCCCUUGGUACGGAAUAGCCCUGGGAAACUGGGAGUAAUACCGUAUGUGGUCGAGAGACGCAAGAUUUAUCGCCAAGGGAUCGGCCCGCGUUGGGUUAGGUAGGUGGUGGGGUAAUGGCCUACCAAGCCGACGAUCCAUAGCUGGUUUGAGAGGAGGAGCAGCCACACUGGGACUGAGACACGGCCCAGAAUCCUCCGGGAGGCAGCAGUGGGGAAUCCUAGACAAUGGGGGAAACCCGUAUCUAGGCCUGCGGCGUGUUGGAUGAAGCCCUUAGGAUUGAAAAGAUCUAUCAGUGGGGAAGAUAAUGACGGUACCCAGCGAAGAAGCCCCGGCUAACUCCGUGCCAGCCGCCGCCGUAA
rnacentral:rRNA from 1 species